AAGGAGAUAUAUUUGUUUCAAUAGUAAUUCAUCAAAACCAUUGAAAAUAUAUUUGAAACAAAUCGAAUUAAUUUACAUUAAACAGUCUGGUUCCCCUUAAUCGAGUAUCAAUUAUAUUAACCAGACCGGUUUUACUGGUCAAAUUAAUAAGUCAUAUAUUUAGACUUGGUAUUAUCUACAUGUGAACCUGUAAAUGACAUAAUCAGACUUCACUUUCAUAUAUAAUACAUUUUUUAUAUUUUAUGGUUAAUUUAGAUAUAUAGAUAUGGAUAUAUAUAUAUAUAUAUAACACAUAUAUUAUGUCGAUACUUAAGCCAUAUAUAUUAGAAAUUAUGAAUCAGAUAAAAGU
rnacentral:lncRNA from 1 species